UACAAAUUUCAGUAGAAUUACCACAUCCAAUAACAAUUUUGAUCCAUUUGAUGGUCAGUCAGUUUAUUACAUUUCUUUUUUUCCCACUUUCCUUGAUGGACUUUGACCCUUGCAAAGUGGGGUUCAUUGUGCAUGGGUAGGGGUGUAAAUAAAUCAAGCCGCUCAUGAGCUACUCGCGGUUCGGCUCGAUAAAAGCUCAGCUCAGUUCGACUCGUUUUCCAAACAAGUCGAGCUCGAGCUCGAAUUUUAAGUUCAUUUAAUAAAUGAGCCAAACUUUAGCUCAACAGUAUUCAAGUCGAGCUCGAGUAUGAGCUCAGCUCGAUUAUAGGUUCGCAAGUUUGCUCGUUGAAUAGGUUUGCGAGCUGGCUCGUUAAAUAGGCUCGUGAGCUAGCUCGUUAAAUAGGUUUGUGAGUAGGCUCAUUUGUAGGCUUGUUUAUAGUCUCAUUUGUAGGCUCGUUUAUAAAAGCAUUUAUAUUAGUUAUCGUAAUUUUAUAAUGUUAUAAAUAUAUUUAUUUUGUUAAUAAUUAUUUUUAAAAUAAUAUAUUAUUUAAAAAUAUGAUAUAAACAAUAUAUAAAAUAUGUUUAUAAUUAUAUAGUUAUUUGUGCUGUAGAUUUAUU
rnacentral:misc_RNA from 1 species